rnacentral:piRNA from 1 species
UGACCUCAUUGCCACAUGCUUACCCUC